AUUGAACGCUGGCGGCAGGCCUAACACAUGCAAGUCGAACGAGUGGCGGACGGGUGAGUAAUGUCUGGUAAACUGCCCGAUGGAGGGGGAUAACUACUGUAAACGGUAGCUAAUACCGCAUACCAUCUGAUGUCCCCAGAUGGGGUUAGCUUAUGGGUGGGGUAACGGCUCACCUUGGCGACGAUCCCUAGCUGGUCUGAGAGGAUGACCAGCAAAACUGGAACGGAGACACGGUCCAGACUCCUACGGGAGGCAGCAGUGGGGAAUAUUGCACAAUGGGCGCAAGCCUGAUGCAGCCAUGCCGCGGGUAUGAAGAAGGCCUUCGGGUUGUAAAGUACUUUCAGCGGGGAGGCGUUACUCGCAGAAGAAGCACCGGCUAACUCCGUGCCAGCAGCCGCGGUAAUAC
rnacentral:rRNA from 1 species